AUUGGACGCUGGCGGCAGGCCUAACACAUGCAAGUCGGACGGUAGCACAGAGAGCUUGCUCUCGGGUGACGAGUGGCGGACGGGUGAGUAAUGUCUGGGAAACUGCCCGGUGGAGGGGGAUAACUACUGGAAACGGUAGCUAAUACCGCAUAACGUCUUCGGACCAAAGUGGGGGACCUUCGGGCCUCACACCAUCGGAUGUGCCCAGAUGGGAUUAGCUAGUAGGUGGGGUAAUGGCUCACCUAGGCGACGAUCCCUAGCUGGUCUGAGAGGAUGACCAGCCACACUGGAACUGAGAUACCGUCCAGACUCCUACGGGAGGCAGCAGUGGGGAAUAUUGCACAAUGGGCGCAAGCCUGAUGCAGCCAUGCCGCGUGUAUGAAGAAGGUCUUCGGGUUGUAAAGUACUUUCAGCGGGGAGGAAGGCGAUGAGGUUAAUAACCGCAUCGAUUGACGUUACCCGCAGAAGAAGCACCGGCUAACUCCGUGCCAGCCGCCGCCGUAA
rnacentral:rRNA from 1 species